UCGGUUUCCCAAUUCCGUUACCCUGGUGAGUAUCCGAUAGGUUCUUAAAUAUGGAGCUCGGUGUUUCUCCCUGGCAACAAGAAUAGCCCCUUAAAGAAGCCGGUCGGGAGGAUAUCGAAGGGAGUUUUCUUUUCUGUUUUAUAGCCGGUAAUUCCAUGGAAGUCUUUCGCAGAGAGAUAUGGUAGAUGGGCUAGAAGAGCAUGACAUAUACUGUUGUGUCGAUAUUUUCUCCUCGGACCUUGAAAAUUUAUGGUGGGGACACGCAAACUUCUCAACAGGCCGUACCAAUAUCCGCAGCUGGUCUCCAAGGUGAAGAGUCUCUAGUCGAUAGAAUAAUGUAGGUAAGGGAAGUCGGCAAAUUAGAUCCGUAACUUUGGAAUAAGGAUUGGCUCUGAAGAUUGAGAUAGUCGGGCUUGAUUGGGAAACAAUAACAUGGUUUAUGUGCUCCUUCUGGGUAAAUAGAGUUUCUAUCAUUUAUGGUAGUUACUUGUUCCCCGGAUAGUUUAGUUACGUAGCCAAUUGUGGAACUUUCUUGCUAAAAUUUUUAAGAAUACUAAUUGGGUUAAACCAGUUAGUUCUUAUUAAUUAUAACGAUUAUCAAUUAACAAUCAAUUCAGAACUGGCACGGACUUGGGGAAUCCGACUGUCUAAUUAAAACAAAGCAUUGUGAUGGCCCUAGCGGGUGUUGACACAAUGUGAUUUCUGCCCAGUGCUCUGAAUGUCAAAGUGAAGAAAUUCAAGUAAGCGCGGGUCAACGGCGGGAGUAACUAUGCCAUUUUGGCUUCCCGGUUGACCUCAUCAGUCGACUGGGAUCCGCGUCAGCGAGGUUUCCUUCCAACCGACGGAUGUGCCGAUAAUACGACGAUAGUCGACUUAAUCUUAAGGGAUCACCAUAAACGUUGUAAAUCACUUUAUAUCGCAACUUUAGAUAUAAGCAAAGCAUUUGACUCGGUGUCUCAUGCAGCAGUUAGCGCCACUCUAACUGCAUAUGGUGCCCCUAAAGAAUUCGUUGACUACGUACAAAAUUCGUACGAGGUCUGUGGCACAACGCUCAAUGGGGACGGAUGGAGAUCAGAGGAAUUCAUACCUGCUCGAGGUGUCAGACAGGGUGACCCGCUAUCUCCCAUAAUAUUCAACUUGAUCAUCGAUCAGUUGCUUAGGUCCUACCCCAAUGAGAUUGGUGCCACAAUCGGUGAUCACACAACAAACGCGGCCGCGUUCGCAGAUGAUAUUGUCUUAUUUGCGGAAACUCGUUUAGGCCUUCAAACAAUGCUAGACACGACUGUCGAUUUUUC
rnacentral:ncRNA from 1 species